rnacentral:rRNA from 1 species
UACGAAGGGGGCUAGCGUUGCUCGGAAUCACUGGGCGUAAAGCGCACGUAGGCGGAUUGUUAAGUCAGGGGUGAAAUCCUGGAGCUCAACUCCAGAACUGCCUUUGAUACUGGCAAUCUCGAGUUCGGGAGAGGUGAGUGGAACUGCGAGUGUAGAGGUGAAAUUCGUAGAUAUUCGCAAGAACACCAGUGGCGAAGGCGGCUCACUGGCCCGGUACUGACGCUGAGGUGCGAAAGCGUGGGGAGCAACAGG